rnacentral:rRNA from 1 species
GGUCUAUAAGUUUGUAAGGAUAAAAUCUUUUAUAAGUAGACUAAAAGGACGCGGUAACCUUGACCGUGAUAAUGUAGCAUAAUCACUCGCCAUUUAAUUGGUGGAUAGUAUGAAUGGUUGAACGAAUAUUCCACUGUCUUAAGAAGAAUUAAAAGAAAUUGAAAUAAUAGUUAAGAUGCUAUUUAAAACUGUAAGACGAAAAGACCCUAUAGAGCUUAACUAUAAUCUCUUUAUAUAAAAUGAAAAAUAAUUUAAUAUUUAUAGAGAUUGGUAGUUUAGUUGGGGCGACUGUCUUCUAUAUAAAACGAAGACAAGCAAUGUAAUAAUAAACUUAUUGUAUAACUUAAUAGUUUAACAAUUAUAAAAAUAGGCUAUAAUGACCCGUUAUUAUUUGAUAGAAAAGAUAACGAUCAAUUAAUAAAAGCUACCUUAGGGAUAACAGGAUAAUUUUAUUUUAGAGUUCAUAUCGAAAAUAAAGUUUGUCACCUCUAUGUUGAAUUAA